rnacentral:lncRNA from 1 species
AGAAGGCCCGCAUCAGCCAAUCGCGUGCGCUGCAACCAACGUGGGGCGCUGACGCGCUCCUCCCCGGAGCGUAUGGCAGCGCAGCGCCGGACGGGGCGUUCUCCCUCCCCCCCUCCUCUCGCUUCCAUCUCCGCCGUCUCCUCGGUCUCCCUUCCCAUCCCGGCCCCUCCUCCGCCAGCCGCGUCCUCCCGGGCUUGGUGAGGAACUGUUCCUGGAGGAGCCGCGGGACGCCAAAACCAGCCAAUGGGAAGCGGCGAUUCGCGGAGAUUGGCACUGAUGAUGGGAAGCAAUGAUAAGGAAACUAAACUGGAUUAAGUGCUAUCAUCUUGGAGGUGCAAAGGCAAACAAGGAGAAAGAAGUGAUUGAAGAGCACUUCAGAAAGCUUGGUACAUUCAAAUCAGCAGGGCUUGAUUACUCGCAUCCCAGGACACUUAAGGAAUUGGCAAAUAUAAUUGCAAGACCACCAGCCUUUAUUUUAGAAAAUGAAGGUUGGACAGAAGAAGGUCCUGACAAGUAAAAUCAGCAGAUGGAGUACCUGUUUUUUAAAAGAGGGAAAAGGACAGCUGUAGUAAUUAUAGACUAUUCAGUUUAUCUUGGAUACCUGGGAAGAUACAAGAGCAAAUCAUCAAACAAUCAAUUUGCAACCACCUAGAAGAGUACAAGCUACUGGGUCGUAAUCAACGUGAUUUUGUGAAGUGCAAAUUAUGCCACACCAAUUUAAUUUUAUCUAUGAUAGAGUGAUGAGCCUGGCAGAAGAGGGGAAAGCAAUAUCUACAACUGGACUUCAAUAAGGAAUAUUGAUCUCAGCGUUACUUUGACCAUUAAUGAAUUAUGAUGGCAAUAAGCAAAGAUUCGCACCUCUAGCCUCCGGGGAGCUUAAUCUUCUGCUACAACAUUUGCAUUUGGUGUCUCUCUACUGCUCAGGCUGGAGUGCAGUGGUGCGAUCAUAGCUCACUGCAGCCUCGACUUCCUGGGCUCAGGUGACCCUCUCGCCUGAAACCAUAUUCCCCCUCAAGUAGCUGAGACUACAGGCAGUGUUUAAGGAGGAUCCAGGAAUACUUUAAGUGACGCCAGCGUUAGUGUUGCCUCCUCAGAAGACUGCUUUCAGGGGAACAGUAUACAUCUGCCCUGUAAAUUCUGGAUGGUAAAUAUGACAAAAACUCUCUCCUUGACCCAGCUCUAGUGAGACUGCUCUAAGCCCUCUUCUCAACAUGGCUCAACCUUGGGCUUCAGUGUACAUUUUGUUGGGCCUGCAUUGCUCAGUUUUAGCAAGAGUCCAGUUAAGUGAAAGAGAAUCUCACAGCUUUGAUAUCAGAUUCUUCCAUAUCUAAACAAAUUCCUCAUCCCCUACCUUCAAUAUCUGAUCACUCUGCCCUGUUUGCACCAAGAAUCUACCCUCACCCUUGAUGUCUCCUCUUAAUAAUUUUCCAUCCACCAAUCUCUCCCCACUCUUCAAACCUGCUCCUUGGCUAUAAGUCCCUACCCCUUCUUGUCUUAUUUGCAAUAGAGCUCAGUUCUACACUGGGGUCUCUUUUUCCUGAUUGCAAUAGUUCCUGAAUAAAAUCUGUUUUUACCACUUUAUCCACUGUCUAGCUCUGGUUUUCUUUACCAGAAGUCACAGUUAACACAUGCGAAAACCCAUUUGCAAAACAAAUCCACAGGACUCGGUCCAUGUGCUGUGAAGUCUUUGAUUAAGGGCUUAAAAACAAUGAAAAGUAAUAAACGGAUCUGAAUACAAUUCAGGCAAUAAAACACUUUCAUUGGUUUUCAUACUCAGCAAAAGUAUUUUUACUGAUUAAAAGAUAAAUAAUCCUCACUCUACUAACUCAAUG